rnacentral:lncRNA from 1 species
GAUUCCUAAUGCUAGAACUGGAACUGAUCUUCCAUCUCCAAUGUUUAGGAACCUCUCACCUUGCUCGAAUCUCCUACUGACCUGCAACCCCUGCAACGAAUUGCAAAUAUGGUAAGGGCUACAGGUAUCCAAUACCCAGUCAGUUAUAUCACAAAUAGAGAAUUUGCAAAGAGUUAUCAUAUAAAUAUCUUGUCCAGCAACAGCUUGCUUCUUUCUCUGCCUGUU